GUCGCUAUUAAAAAAGUUGAGAGGCAACCAUAAUAUUUGUAUUUCAAUACCAUGUGAAUAAUAGUUUUAUUAUACAGAGAAUAACUAAAAAUUAAUCAUUUUCCGCUAACACAUGAAAUUUUUUCGUCUGAAUUUUCAAUAGUCUCAUGGUCACUUUUCUUGAACUAGCAUUCAUCUGAGAGGUCUCUAGUUCGACGCCACACUUCUCUCUUGCAAUCACUCACCACUAAGAUUGAAUCAAAAGAUUUUAUUGAGUUUUUUGUGUCUUCAAAAGCAACUAUAUAUUAGAUACUACAAGUCCUGUUUUAGUUGUCUUUGCUUCAACUUCUAGUCAGGUAUGUACUUUGGCACUCUUUGUAACAUACCGCUUUGUUUUAUUUAUUAUUUUACUUGAUUUUUAAAAAAAAUCUUCUAUUAUUUCAUUUAGUUACUUAUUAGUUUUACCCAAAAAAAUUGUUUGCUUUAAAAUGAUACUACUAGUAUUGAUAUAUUAUUUUGAUUGCUAGUUGUUGGAAGAAUGACUUUAGAUACUACUUUUAAUUGAUUAAAUAUUAUUUAAUGGAUUAAAAUGAGCAAGACAAACUUUAGUUGUUGUAUUUGCUUCAGGUGUAUGAGAAGCUUCUUGGGAGCCAAUGCUUUAAAUGCUUGUGGUGAUUUUAUGAAAUGCAGAGAAUGAAAUUCUUGAAUAUAUUAUAUGGACUACUGAAAAUUUGUUGCUGGUUCACUUCAUCUGUCUCUAUGUUGCCUUCUAGUUUCUUUUAAGGAUCUUGAUAUUAUAUUAUUUGCUUGUAGAACUUAUUUUAAAGCAUACUAGAGCUUUUCUGGUAAACAUAUUAAUGGUGUCAUAUGUGUACUUACUAUACAUAAUGACUAUUGUAAUGCAUGUUGGUGAAUUGGAUUGCUUACUUAUUUAUAAUGGUUAUAUUUGAUAAUGGUUGAAGCGUCUCUAUGAGUUUGAUUUGUUAUUUUGUAUUGGAAUGAAAGAUAAUUAAAAAGUGGGGAUCUAUUUUUUAACCUUGUUUGCUUCAAUCUACUAAUUGCUUACAAAAAUAGAAGAAGCUCAAUUCUAUUUUUGUUUUCUUUUCCUAUAAGCUAAUUUUUAGUUUUGUACCUCUAUUGUUAGUGGUCUUGGAAUUCAGUGAUAGCAGAUACUCUGUUUGGCAGUGGAAUUUUCUCUUCGUUCAUCUCUUAGCUUAUUGUUUCUCUUUUGUGUUUUUUGAUGGUUUAACACAAUGCUAUCUUUUGGGCUAUUAGCUUUCUGAUCUGAACAGCACAAAAGAACAAUUUCUAUCAAAUAUUACUUUAUGUAAAUACUAUGCUUUAAUUUAUCUUUGACUUCUAUCACUUUGCUUAGUUUAUGAUUGGUCUAUUUUUCAAAAUAAAAUAAUUUACCAAGUAAACAAUAGACUUUAUAACAUAUAAUUCUUUUGUUCUGAAUUUUGAGUUUCAAACAAUUCAGUUCGAUUAAAAAACAUAGGAAAGCUAGAUGAUAAAAGCAUUUGUUUGCUUCAAUUUAUUGGCUUAAUCGCUUUAUCAUUGGAAAGCUAGAUGAUAGAAGCAUUUGUUUGAUAAAAGCUAGAUGAUUCACUUUCUUACUUGGAACUGAUUUUUUCCGUUUUCAGCUUAAUCCAAGUCUUUAUGACAAUCAUCAAAUAUAUUCCUCACGUUAGAAAUGCCUCAUUUCUUUUUUCCCCAUUAGAAAAAAUAUCAAUUGUUUUAAAUAUAAUCUUAUGUAACAUCAGUGAUGAAAUAAUUUAGCUAUCCAAAAGAUUUUCUUUUUCCUUUCUUAUUACUGUAUGAGUAGAGAAUUAGAGACAGUAAUACUAUUAAUAGACCCACUCAAAUAUUGUCUUUCCUUUGCAUUUUCAUUCUCUAUCAUAUCUGUGCUUUCUGGUGUGCUUUCUUUCUCCAUAUUGGUUGCUUUGUCCAUGGCUGAGAUUUGUUCUUCUUCCCUUACUUCUGGGGGUCUCUACUAUUGGAGUACCAAGCUUGCUGGCCCAAAAUGGUCACCAUUUGCUUCAUGGAUAACUGGCUGCUUAUUCAAGUGAUCAUUCUCCUUAGCACUGGUGGAAUAACUGGUGGUGGAUAUGAGGCCUCAAAGUACUCAGUCAUUGCUUUCCAUGGAGGAAUUUUGCUUCUUCAUGCUAUCACAAAUAGUCUUCCCAUAUCUUGGUUAUCUUUCUUUGGACAGUUGGCUGCUGCAUAAAAUAUUGUUGGUAUGAUCAAGAGUUUCCCUCUCCUCCAUGGAAUAUUGAGAACUUUUAUUUCUGCAUUUAUUGCAUCCUAUGAGAUCAAUAUUCAGCUCGAAGACAGUACCCUUAAUUUGAUAUUGGAUAUUCUUUGCAAAGUUUAUCGGGGAGAGGUUUGGCUGCAUAAUGAUUGUCUUUCAAGGAAUCACUUUGCAGUCAGUUUUGGGACAGAGAAAGUUUUGUUGAUGGUCCUAUUCGGUGUCUUCUUUGUAGCCUAGAAGGUGAAUUUCCCUUCAGGACUGUGGAACUUAUUUGCCUCUUAUCAUCCCUAUCUGAAGGAACUUGGCCAGCAGAAUGUGUAAGAAAAAUGUCUCUUUCUCCAUCAAUUGGAGGAGAAAAGGAUACUUAGUUUUGAAGGCUUUAUGUUGGGCAGCCGUAGAAUAUUUUAUGUUGAAAGUAGUAACUUUUCAAUAUGUUGAAUAUUUAAGACUACUUGAAUACUUAAAGAACAUUUUGUUAUUGAUGACAGUGGUGAAUGUUUUAAACUAAUUUGUGGAUUGUUAAUACAAUGUUGAAUGUUUUCUUUUUGUUA